AGUGCUUCGACCGGUAAUGGAAAGUUCUAGCAUGUUUACUGUUUUCUUUCCAGUGACUUUCAUGUUUGUAAGUCAGCCUACAAGCUACAGAAAGGCUUAGUGACAACAUAUAAUCAUCAAAUCAGCACAAACGAAAUGAAUAUAUUACCAUUAUAAAGCAGUAUUCCAGAUUGUGGUAAAUAAAAGCUCUCAAGUUCAGUUUCUAAAGAUAGAUCUUCAAGCUAGUUCCCUGUCAUUAUUACUGUAGGGAUGUUUACAUGGGUGUAUAGUUUGUUUACUGCAAAGAGCCUUGUAGAGACAAUAGUUACAUUGCAUUCCCUAAGAUUACCUCCACUGGAAGCUACACCACCCACUAAGAGUAGAGGUCUGCAUUAUUCUGAAGUGCAGCAUUUUCAUUUCUUUCUCCAGGAAAUUAAAACUAAUCAUUCAGAGUGUAACAUGUGAGAAAAUAUGCAAGGACACUAUGGAACAAAAUUGAACUGGAAUCUACAAAACCAUUUAUUUUUGAUCAGAGCAUGAUGUAUGUUCACGAAUUAGUUCAUUCAGUCAUUGUGUAAAUGUUUUGUAGAAUAUUUUUUUUCAUUUUUAUGUGUUGUCCCAAUCUACAGAUUUUUAUUCAUAAUUUUUGAGCUGGUAAAUAUUUAGACAUAUGAAUAGACUGAAUAGACUCUUUUUUGCCAUGUCACUUGAGAAAAAAUCUGUGACAUAUUUUUUGACAGUCCUACUAAAAACUAAAUCUGUUUCCUGCCUUUGCUGACAUAGCUGAGAAUAAAUGAAAACGAAUCAUCUUCCUUGGCAUAGUCUCAAUAUAUCAGUCUAAUGGAUCUAUUCCAUUAGGCUGCAGAAUUGUUGAGAAUCUGUGUACUGGGCCUUGCAUUUGAUCUUGUUUUUCAUGACAAUGGGGACCAAACCAUUUUGACUCUGGUUUGUUAAACAGGCUCUGUAUAAACCCACCCAUUUCUACACACAAUCCUUUAAAAUCUUUCCAACGAGCAUGCUUAUAAUUGUUGAGUCAGUGAAAGGAAAUGGGAAGGUAGAAGGCUUCCAUAUUUCACAGCAGUCCAAGGCAAUUCACUAGGAGGGAAGGCGAGCUUAAUUCCCCUUCCACUUACUUAUCCUGAGCAAAGCUGCUGAUUGUUGGGGGCAAUAUACUGACUCUGUAAACUGCUUAGAGAGGGCUAUAAAGCACUAUGAAGUGGUAUCUAAGUCUAAAUGCUAUUGCUAUUCUCUGUAUCCCAACGAUUCAGAAAUUUUUGCAAAGGAUCUUUGGAGGUAGAAAACCUAAUCUACUCUACUCCUCUACUCUACACCACUCCAAGAAAUUCUGAGUCCUGCUAUGGGAAUUGUUAGCAGCUGGAAAUAUGUACUUUGUUUCCUAUUAUUCAUCUAAUAAACUUGUCCAUCUGACUGGGAAAAAGAGGAACUACUACAGCAAGAAUCUACCACAUUACUGUAAAGUCGAUAUAUGCAAAAGUCACCAUAUGCUGGCAGAAGUUAUGCAACCUAAUUACUCUUCCAUAGCUGGAAUUCUGAGAGAUCUAUUUGCUGACUCCUGACUCUGACCCUGUUUUCCAUGAGCAGAUAAAGACCAAAGCAAUCCUAUCAGUUAGCUCAGUUGGUGCAGAACUCAAAAAGAAGAUUCACAAUAAAGCAGACCCACCUCCAGAAAACAAAAAGAAUAUCAGAUGUGUUCUUCGUGUAUGUACUUUUUGUACUUGCAUACAUACAUGUUUGUUUGUUUUUUGCAUGCAUGCUAGGAGAACAUUGGCUUCAAUAUGACUCCGUAAUAAACGUAAGGCUUUUCCCCAAGGUGCAAAUAUUUAAUUAAAUAAUAAAAGAAGCAAUUUCAAGCUAUAUGAUAGAUAAUGUGCAUACUGGGUAUAUUAUACUUGCUUUGUAUUUUACAUACUCAAGAACAUAUCUUCCUCUAUCCAUUACUAAUUUUAGCCUAAAUAAGAAACUUAUUUCACCACUUCAAGGAAGGCAAAACCUUAGGUCGCAUCCUAAUUUUCUGGUAUCACAACACCUCCUGAGAUGUUAAAAAAAAUGUGUUUCACAUCUACAAAAAAAUCACCCAUCCUGUACGCACAUUGGAUAACCUUUGUCCACAAGAAAUGAUAUGCUAGCUUGACUAUUUUUCCAACCAAUCAACUAACUCCAUGAUAAAACACAAUCCAAUGAUUGAAUAAAAUCUGGGAAACUUGUACAGUAACAUAAACCAGUACAGCCUAUCACCUACUAUUCGAGAUCCCAAGGAUGAGAUUAACCAAGAAAAGUGACUUUGAUAACUUUCUUAUUUUGGAUUUACAAAAGAGACGUGUUAAAGUUUUGAAGAUAUUUUGAAGAAAACAGAGAAAAGAAAUGAAAAGAAAUCAAAUUCUGGGACACUAUUUAAAGAGAUUAAAGAGCAAGAUUGUUAAAAGCAAAAUGAAAGAAUACAAAGUUGAUAUAUUUAACCAAGGUUAAAAUAUAUGUUGUAUGUGGAAAUUCUUAAUGGAUUUUUGCUCACCAGAACCAAAUGAUGAGGCUUUAAAGAUUUGUUUAAGGUAAGAGAUGAAAUAUGGGAAGAGAGGAUCUUUUGUCCUAUUUUCAUAGAAAGUAAUAAGCUGGUGUUAAAAGUAAGGAAAGGAGUAUGAAGUUGGUUUAUUUGAUUGAGCUUAAAAUAUAUAUGUUGUUAUUUCUGGUAACUCUUAAUAGACAUUGGCUAAUUAGAGGUGAAUGAAGAAGUUUUAAAGAAUUUGUUUACAGAUAAGAGAGAUGUUUUUUAUUUUUGUCUAAAUUUUAAUAAAAUUAUUUAAAAAUUAAGUAAUUGUUACAAUAUGUGAUUAUAGCAAUAAAUGGAGAAAUCUAUAUAUGCUUGGCUAAUGCAAAUAUUAUUCAAGUGCAUAUAUAAUUAGUUCAUUGUACUAGUCUAUACAAAAUCUACGUCUAUAGGCAAUCAGCUCUUAUGUGGUAAUGCAGGUCUUCAAUCCAUUGAGUAAACUGAGCCAUAUGUUUAUCUUUCUAAUGCUGUAAUAUCAGUUCUUUAGCCACAGUAAGGGCUAAUACAUAGAAAUAUAUCUUUUAAAGAAGUAUUGUCCUUAUUAUCUCAUCAACAAAAUGCUGUUUUUGACAGGUCUUUUCUAUACAAACAUAAUAAAUUCUAAAUGUGUCUUUGUCAGAAUGCUCAUCUCAUUCAAAAUGUGCCUCCCAGCUUCAAAAGACUGAACAUCCUAUAUUACAACAAUGAAAUAGAUAAAAAUACACAGACAAAAAUACACCUGGCAUGCUCACCUAAAAUCAAUUUAAUUUCUUCCUAGAGAGCUUAUUUCUAGAAAGAAGUCUUAAAGUUGGUUUUAGUAAUUCAAUAACUAAAAUUCUAACCCGAAGUCAUAUAUAAGAUCCUUCAGAUACACAGCCUUGCUAAAUAGCUUCUUUAACAUCUCGGUGCAACUAAGAAUAUUGAUUACACUGUUCAAUCAAUGAGCACUGUAACUGAUAAUGUGACAAGAGUGUAAGUCUGAGCAUUGUAAGUGAUGAGGCAGCAUAAUAUAAGCUCUGAUGUUUAGAAACAUUGCAUGGAAAAUUCUGACAAGGUUAGGCUGAAUUAGCUGUGGAAGAAAUUAAACCAAUUAUGAAGCAUACGAUAGUUAUUCCACCACCCACUGACAGGUAUAUAGGGAAAAACAAGUACAUACUGUUGUUUUUUUUUAAUCACAGCUGCUCAAGUCAAUUCUCUAUGAUGAAAACAAAAACAGAAAUAAAACACAAGCAAUGAGUGAGCGUAUUUAAAUAAAGCAUGAAUAUAUAUCGCCAGGAAAUGAAGAAGUGGCUGGUCAGUUGCUUCCAAGAAAUUCUCAAGUUUUGAACACAAGCAACUGGCUUUAAAGCUAUAGAUUUCUUUUAAGUAUUGCAGCUAACAGCAGACUUAUCAAGCAUUAAAAUAACUGAUCACUUUCUAAUACUACACCAUUCAAAAAAAUUCUGUCACCCUCUUUAUCCUCCGUAACAUUUUGCCAGCACAGAUGGGGAGAAUAGCAAGGUGCAAAGAAAAACAGUAUUUUUGUAUCAUCAACUACUGUGAGUUCUUCUCAUCCUUACAUCUUGCAACAUUUUUUUCUAGACAAAACUUUAAGGACACAGAAACAUUUUUUUUUCCUGGCAUCGUUCUCCUACAAAUUAUAGGAAUACUAUCUGAAACAAAUAGAAUGUAAGGCAAGCAUCAAUGCAAAUGACCUUUUGCAGUUUUCCUUUUGCAGUGGAAAAAUAAAAGGAUCAGGAAAUAGUGCAAAAUCUAAAGAAACAGUGGCAUUUUUCAAAAUAAAUAGCCUUUCUUCAUUAUGCAGGUCUCAGAUAAUAGCCAUGUUAACAAUUUGCAUGAACCCAACAUUUAGCAAGCUGCUUAUAAGAUGGCCCACAGGGACAGAGGGGUUGGAAAAGAUAUUAGAUGUACUAGGAGGGAAACUUGGGACCAAAUAAGAAUUCAGAUAGAGAAGGACAGGUACAGGGGGAAAAAGCAAAAAAAAAAAAAAAAAA